rnacentral:rRNA from 1 species
UGGGGAAUUUUGGACAAUGGGCGAAAGCCUGAUCCAGCAAUGCCGCGUGUGUGAAGAAGGCCUUCGGGUUGUAAAGCACUUUUGUCCGGAAAGAAAUCCUUGGCUCUAAUACAGUCGGGGGAUGACGGUACCGGAAGAAUAAGCACCGGCUAACUACGUGCCAGCAGCCGCGGUAAUACGUAGGGUGCAAGCGUUAAUCGGAAUUACUGGGCGUAAAGCGUGCGCAGGCGGUUUGCUAAGACCGAUGUGAAAUCCCCGGGCUCAACCUGGGAACUGCAUUGGUGACUGGCAGGCUAGAGUAUGGCAGAGGGGGGUAGAAUUCCACGUGUAGCAGUGAAAUGCGUAGAGAUGUGGAGGAAUACCGAUGGCGAAGGCAGCCCCCUGGGCCAAUACUGACGCUCAUGCACGAAAGCGUGGGGAGCAAACAGGAUUAGAUACCCUGGUAGUCCACGCCCUAAAACGAUGUCAACUAGUUGUUGGGGGAUUCAUUUCCUUAGUAACGUAGCUAACGCGUGAAGUUGACCGCCUGGGGAGUACGGUCGCAAGAUU